GGAUGUGAGGGCGAUCUGGCUGCGACAUCUGUCACCCCAUUGAUCGCCAGGGUUGAUUCGGCUGAUCUGGCUGGCUAGGCGGGUGUCCCCUUCCUCCCUCACAGCUCCAUGUGCGUCCCUCCCGAAGCUGCACGCUCGGUUGAAGAGGACGACCAUCCCCGAUAGAGGUGGACCAAAUCAAUGUGAGUCAAUGCCCUGUAUAGCUAUCCUUAUCUCAACCAGCAAAAACCCUUGUUCCUUCCUAUUAUUGCUUAUACUCUCUCUACAACAAAAUUAGAAAUAAGGGCAAAAUAGUUUCUGCUGGGUAU
rnacentral:sRNA from 1 species